GUUCUUUCUGGACGUUAGAAAAAUGUGGCGUUUAGGAGGUCGCGUGCCGGAGUCGGACUUUGCAGCAAGUCCCCCUGACCGGGGCUGUUACCCAGAGCGGGUGCGAGGCCCAUAGUUGCUAUGUCUGCUUCGGAUGCGACUUCUUGGGAGUCGGGUUGCUUGGGAGUGCAAUCCUAAUAGGGUGGUAAACUCCACCUAAGGCUAAAUACGGCCGUGAGACCGAUAGCAAACAAGUACCGUGAGGGAAAGUUGCAAAGAACUUUGAAGAGAGAGUUCAAGAGUACGUGAAACUGCUUAGAGGCAAACGGGUGGGCCCUCGAAAUCCUCUGGCGGGGGGAUUCAGUUAGGAAAGGCUGAGGUGAUGGUUGCCUUGAAUGGACCCUUUCCGGGGCCAGGCAACCGUCAUGGUCUUGGUUUUACCUGACGCACUUCUUCCCGCACUACGGACGCCGCAUCCGGUUGGGUUGCUUGAGAGUCAGCCAUGAGGGCAAGCAAUGGCAGGUGGCCGGUGGUGUUGCUCUUCGCCGCCGGUUGUUAGCCCGCAUGUCCGUGGCGUGACACCCGACCGAGGUUGAAUGGUUCCCGCACGGGAACUGGCCGUCCCCUUCGGAGCGGACGCUGGCAAGUGUUUCACGAAGUUGCCUCGUCACUCUUGAGUGUCUGGCUCUUGGUGUUCCCUGUUGGGGUGCAGCGGCUAGCGGCGAGUGAGUCGGUCACCCACCUGGCCCGUCUUGAAACACGGACCAAGGAGUCUAACAUGUGCGCGAGUCACGGGGUCUUGAUUAGGCCCAGAGGCACAAUGAAAGUGAAGGUCGACCUGACGUCGGCUGUGUUGGGAUUCCCCGACCUCUGAGUCGGGGAAGCACCAACGAUCCAUCCUAUCCGAUUUAUCGGAUGGACGGAAUUGGAGCGUACACGUUGGGACCCGAUAGAUGAUGAACUAUGCCUGGGCAGGACGAAGCCAGAGGAAAC
rnacentral:rRNA from 1 species